AGGAAAGAAACCAACAGGGAUUGCCUUAGUAACGGCGAGUGAAGCGGCAACAGCUCAAAUUUGAAAGCUGGCUCCUUCGGAGUCCGCAUUGUAAUUUGUAGAGGAUGAUUCGGCGAGGGCUCCCGCCUAAGUCCACUGGAACGUGGCGUCAUAGAGGGUGAGAAUCCCGUAUGCGGUGGGUUGCCUUAGCCAUGUGAAUCUCCUUCGACGAGUCGAGUUGUUUGGGAAUGCAGCUCUAAAUGGGAGGUAAAUUUCUUCUAAAGCUAAAUACCGGCCAGAGACCGAUAGCGCACAAGUAGAGUGAUCGAAAGAUGAAAAGCACUUUGGAAAGAGAGUUAAAAAGUACGUGAAAUUGUUGAAAGGGAAGGGCUUGCAACCAGACUUGUCCGCAGUUGCUCAGCCGGUCUCCUGACCGGCGUACUCUUCUGCGGCCAGGCCAGCAUCAGUUCGGGCGGUCGGAUAAAGACCUAGGGAAUGUAGCUCCUCUCGGGGAGUGUUAUAGCCCUGGGUGGAAUGCGACCAGCCUGGACUGAGGAUCUCGCUUCGGCAAGGAUGCUGGCGUAAUGGUUGUAAGCCGCCCGUCUUGAAACACGGACCAAGGAGUCUAACAUCUAUGCGAGUGUUUGGGUGUCAAACCCAUACGCGUAAUGAAAGUGAACGGAGGUGGGAACCCGCAAGGGCGCACCAUCGGCCGAUCCUGAUGUCUUCGGAUGGAUUUGAGCAAGAGCAUAGCUGUUGGGACCCGAAAGAUGGUGAACUAUGCCUGAAUAGGGUGAAGCCAGAGGAAACUCUGGUGGAGGCUCGCAGCGGUUCUGACGUGCAAAUCGAUCGUCAAAUUUGGGUAUAGGGGCGAAAGACUAAUCGA
rnacentral:rRNA from 1 species